ACUUGAAGUACCCUGCAGACAUUUCACUGGAGCCAGUUGUUGACCUCUUAUUUCUAUCAGAUUAGUCUAACCUCUUUGUGUAUUUUCCGCUUAGAGGAGGAAAACAAUAUUGUUUUCACUGAAAAUAUCAGUUGCUUUUUUUUCUUCUUCUUCUUUUUUUUGAGACGGAGUCUCACUCUGUCGCCCAGGCUGGAGUGCAGUGGCCGGAUCUCAGCUCACUGCAAGCUCCGCCUCCCGGGUUUACGCCAUUCUCCUGCCUCAGCCUCCCGAGUAGCUGGGACUACAGGCGCCCGCCACUUCGCCCGGCUAGUUUUUUGUAUUUUUUAGUAGAGACGGGGUUUCACCGUGUUAGCCAGGAUAGUCUCGAUCUCCUGACCUCGUGAUCCACCCGUCUCGGCCUCCCAAAGUGCUGGGAUUACAGGCUUGAGCCACCGCGCCCGGCCUUUUUCUUCUUCUUCUUAGAACCCCUUGUCGUUUAUUGCAUAAACAGAAACACAGAUUGCUCACUCUGAUCUGACCCUUGCACUUCUCUUUCCAUUUAAAGAAGAGCUUUACAUUGGUGAUCGACAGAAUAAUUUCUCUCCGUAUAUGUCCCUUUAGUAGUAUGUGUUAGGACUUUGUUGAACCAAACAGAUUUUUCACACAAUUUUGGAUCUCCCUUCCUUGUUAGAAAUACAGAAACAAUGAAAAAUGUGCCUUUUCCCAAGGAAAAACUCUUCACUCCAUUAUGGGGCUUUCUUUCCUUCUGACCUGGGUGUCCUGUCAUCUGGCUUAAUAUUUUCCUCAUGUGUCCCUGUCUUGCAUAUUGAAACACAACAUUUUAAUUGUAUGCGGCUGAAUUAAUGAGACUUUAUUGAAAGUUUAACAUGGUAAUUUGAGUACCGAAUGCUACAAAAACAUAUUUAUUUUCCAAGCAACGCUUCUUUAUCUUUUUCCCAAAGGGGAAGAUGUAUUUCUCUCAGUAUGCUUUACCCUGCCCCAGAUUGUAAUAUUUUUCAUUUUGGGGACCCUCCACCUGUGUCUCUUUCUGGGGUUUCCAGGAAACGUAAGGAAGGAGUCAGCCUUUUAAUCAGCCAGAGUGGGGAGGAUGUAAUUCCCCACAGGUCCUCUGACUGUUGGACGGCUGAGAGUGUCUCUGCUAUGCUAAUAUUUUACAACAAGGUGAAACUUAAGAGGAGAAUCCUUCCAUAAAUGGCAUGGUGAUAUUUAGGAUUUGGAAUACUGUGGCAUGUGCCCGAACUGGCAAGAAAGGAAGAAAAAAAGAUGGGAGUUAAAGGAGAAAGCCAAGACCGAUUGAAUUCAGAUCAUUAUUAAAAUGUUUCAAUACAAGAAAGGAAACGGUCCAACCAAUGGCAAAGAAAGCAGUACAUGGCAAGAAACACGAACCUGAACAUGAGGAACAUGUGUGACAAACACUCUUGGAUAUACUAGUCCAACAUUUUAAAACAUUUUAAUAUUUUAAAAUUAAAAUCAGAAAAUUUAUUUUUUCUAUUUCUUUAAACACUUAUUAGACUAGAUUGAUUUAUUUUCCAAACAAAAAUAAUUUGGAACUUGGCUAAUUUAAUAUUCCUUUCAACAUUUCUAAAUCUAAAUCAGAUUCCUCACAACUGUUUUGGCAAAGCAAACUCCUUGGUAUUUGGUGGACAUUCAACCUCUUCAAAUAAUACUUAUUUAUAAAGCAAAUGGGCUAGUUGUUUGAUAAAUGAAUAGUAAGUAUGAAAUACAAUGACUGAAUAGAAUGCAUUUUCAAACUCGGGAAGAUCAGAACCAAACAUACAAAUAUUAAACAAUAUAAAAUUCAGAAAAUAAUGUGGAAGAAUCAUGUAUUGCUUAUUAUCUUUCUCAGUUCAUUAAAACAUGAUUCAUCAAGAACAAAGUAGGAAGUGAGAACAGCUCCUCAGAAACACGAUUAUCAAUUCAUGUAUCUUAACAUCUGAUUGUAAAAGUUGAGUCAUUCUUUUGGAGAACAUUGAAGAGAGUCUUCAUCUUCUGCUACUCAACGUGUGGUUCACGAACCAGUUACAUUGGCAUCAGAUGGCAGUUUGUUGGAAAUGCUGAAUCUCAGAUCCCGUUCCAUAACCACUAAGUCAGAAUUGCAUUUCAGCAAAUUCCCAGAUAACUUGUGUGCACCUUAAACACACUGGAUAAUCCAAACUACAUAAUACUAUCUUGAUUUUACCUAAACUAAAUCACUUACCAUAUAUACCUGUGCAUAUUUGACUUUUUCUCAGUGAUGUAUCGCAAACUUACCACAUGACAGACCUGUGUUAGGAACUUAAUAAAUAAUUGCUGACUAGUUACUGGAAUAGCUUGCUAGGAUAAUCUGUUCCUUUCAUCCAUUGACUGGUAUUGACUCUAUAUGUAUUUUAUGAUAUAUUUUUACACAGCCACAGAAUUCCUCUGUAUUGUGAAAAGAAAUAUUUAGAAAAUUAGUGGAGAAUACAUGCAGCUAUCAUUUAUUCCUCAUUAUUGCCACUUUUUGAGGCUGAUUUAGAAAUACUUGACUUCUUUGUAGUCUCGGGCAUGCAGUACAAUAAUUAUUUUCAAGUAUUACAUUUGUGUCACAACCCAGGGACCAAAGCUAGGGCAAAUUUAGUAUCAAGUACAAAUGUUUAAGAAUGACUACAAAUACCAAAGAUAAUCUUUUGCAGUUUUCUCAAAUGAAUCAUUGGAUUUAAUUUCCAUUAUAAUAAAUCAUUCAAGUUGAAUAGUGUUACACUUCUUAAAAUAAAGCAAGCCUCUGACCUUUUGACUAUCAAAUGAUUUUAUAUUUAGUAACUUUAAUUAAGGAAAUUAAAUUCAUUUAAGCAAAAUUUUGAAGGAAAAUUGUUCAACUUAAUGACAUUCAAAUCUUACUAAUAUCCAGCCUGGGGAUCGCUGAGAUUCAAUAUCCAAAAGAUACAUUAGCCUAUCUCCUGCCAGUUCAAUGUCAUUACAUAUAACAUAUAAUUUAAGUAUUUUUCACAUCCUCUCCUUUUAUAAUGUCUUGACUAAAAAGGUUUCUGGCAAGUACAACCUUUUUCAUGACUGACCUUCUAAGGCUAGUUAUGUAUAACCAGCAUACAAAUCAAACUGAACAUUGAUUACGAUAUUAAUAUUCUCACAGAGUCAUAUGAAUUCACAAUUCUCCUCCUUCCUAGGUUAGGGGCAGUUCACACAUUCAUCACACUUAUUUUAGGCUUCACAUUUAUUUAGGCUUCCUACGUAUUUGUUGUAAAAACUGACAUCUUAGCUGUUUUCUCAUGGAACCAUAGAAUUUCUGAAUGAAAGAAGUCUAAAGAAAAUCUAGGCAAACACCUUUAUUUUAUAUCAGGAAAUUGUGAUCUAGAGAUAAAACUCAAUGGCAUGUGCCCAACACGUUGUCCGUAGUCAAGCUGAGAUUGAAAGAAAACAAUAACCUACAGAUAAAUAUAAUGCCUUUCCUUUUACAUAUAUGAUGCUUUUAUUAUAAAUAAUUUGAUUGUUGGAUUUCUUCUAAUUAAGUACUUUUUAGUUGUUCCCAUUAUUAUUUUGUUAUACAUUCUGAAUAAAAAUGACAGUCAAGAAGGUUCUGUGUGACCAUUUCAGCCAAGGAAACUGGAGAUAAAGACUAAAGACUCAGACUGGGAGGAUUCCAGAAUGGCAGAGAGAGAAACAUGAAAAUCUCUUCCCAAAAUUUAAUGACAAAACCUGAUGAAGUUAUCAAAACCAGGUCGGUAAAUUGAGGCAAACAACAAACUGAAAGUCCUUUAUUCAAGACACAUCACUGAACUCCAGGUAAGAAUAAUGGGAGGGAGUCUGCAGUUCAUCAGUGGGGGCUUCCUACUCUUAAUCUACCCUCCCCACCAACCUUCACAUUGCAAAAAGCAACAGAAUUUGCUGCUGGAAGGGGCAGACUGAAUAAAAGUGGAACAGAAAAAAAAUCCAUACUCCUGGGCAUUGGAAACUGUAGGAAUAUCAAUGAAGGAUGAAUGGAAAAGGCCAAUGUUGCAGUUAGCACUUCCUUGUUUUCUGGGACCACAGCAUUUUCAAGGCUCAUCUUGCACUUUUCUUUCCUCAACAGAAAGUCAGCCAUUUCUCCAAGGAGCUCUGGGUUCUUCUACGGGAGGGUAAGCCUUUAGAAAACAAAAUCUGGAAGUUAGGUGUGCUCUCUGGUUGUUUGGGUGACAAUGCCAGUCUAGUACCCUUGUCCUAGUCAG
rnacentral:lncRNA from 1 species